rnacentral:rRNA from 1 species
GAUGAACGCUAGCGGCAGGCCUAACACAUGCAAGUCGAGGGGCAGCACGUCUUCGGAUGGUGGCGACCGGCGCACGGGUGCGUAACGCGUAUGCAACCUACCUCUUACAGUGGGAUAGCCCAGAGAAAUUUGGAUUAAUACCGCAUAGUAUACAGAUUCAGCAUUGGGACUGUAUUAAACAUUUAUGGGUAAGAGAUGGGCAUGCGUUCCAUUAGUUAGUUGGAGUGGUAACGGCACCCCAAGACAGCGAUAGAUAGGGGCCCUGAGAGGGGGAUCCCCACACUGGUACUGAGACACGGACCAGACUCCUACGGGAGG